rnacentral:rRNA from 1 species
GACGAACCGUGCGAACGUUAUUCGGAAUCACUGGGCUUAAAGCGCGUGUAGGCGGGUGGGCACGUCGGCCGCUGAAAUCCCCCGGCUCAACCGGGGAAGGGGCGCCGAUACGGCCGGCCUGGAGGGACGUAGGGGGGGCUGGAACUUCCGGUGGAGCGGUGAAAUGCGUUGAGAUCGGAAAGAACACCAACGGCGAAAGCACUCUGCUGGGCCGACACUGACACUGAGAGACGAAAGCUAGGGGAGCGAAUGGG